rnacentral:rRNA from 1 species
UACAGAGGGUGCAAGCGUUGUUCGGAAUCAUUGGGCGUAAAGGGCGUGUAGGCGGUCUGUUAAGUCAUGUGUGAAAUCCCUCGGCUCAACCGGGGAACGACGCAUGAAACUGACAAGCUAGAGUACCAAAGAGGGGGGUGGAAUUCCCGGUGUAGCGGUGAAAUGCGCCGAUAUCGGGAGGAACACCAAUGGCGAAGGCAGCUUGCUGGGACGGUACUGACGCUGAGGCGCGAAAGCGUGGGGAGCAAACAGG